GGGGUUGUAGCUCUGUGGUAGAGCACUCACCUAAUGUGUGCGAGGCCCUGGGUUCAACCCUCACUACUGCG
rnacentral:tRNA from 1 species